CACGUGAUAAUACCCUUCUGAAAAACCUCAGCUGCUGACUUGAGAAGAAAACAAGGAUUUUUCUAUCUCACCAAUGGCAUUGAUGUGAGUAGUUGGAAAUAACAAACGCAACAAUGGAACUGAAGAUGAUGAAAAGACCUUGGGCUUGAUUUUCUCCAUUGCUAUCCAGAUCACAGACGGACCUGGGACUCCACACCAUCGAAGAUACCAUGAAAGAAGUACUGAAUUCCUCUCUCCUUGUUUCUCAUCACUGGGCCAUUGUGCUGAAUUCAAAUAGUUGCACAAAUCAUUCUUCAGUGCCUCCGAAGAUGUUAGGAGCUCUUCUACCUGCUUCCUAAGAGACCCUAGAAAGAUAGAUUGAACAACACCGCCUCUCGAAGUGGUCAAUCUUCCACUCAGAAGAGCCUCAUUGUAGGUUAGUGCAAGCUU
rnacentral:misc_RNA from 1 species